CUUACGCCUUCUAAUGUCUAAUAAUCUGUCCUCAUUUUUGUCCAAGAGAUUCAAUAAUAAUAUUGUACAUUUUAGUUCUUUUAAUUUUUAUAUUUAAUAAUGUUUAUGUUGUCAGGAACCGAUCACCAUCCACAUCAUCAGUCACUCCUCCCACUUGUUCCCUCUCUCCUGAAUUCUAAUCACUUACACCUGUGUCCCAUCACCAUAUCCAUUGAAAUAUCUCUAUGCUCCCUUCACUCCUUGUCUUGUCUCCUCAAAAAUGGACACCUAGACUCACCUGUACUACUCACCUUGGUUGAUUAUCCUCGUUUACUCUCAGAUCUCCUGCAAAAGAGACAUUGUUAUUCUACAGCUAAGUGCAUUCCAGAACUUCACAUAUCCAAUUUACUCACCUAUUAUUUCUCUGCUUCAGUGUGUGUUUCAAUAAAGUACUAUUAUACUUCCCUUCAGUCUACUUCCUGGCUCUGAAUGAGACAGAAGACCAGACCGAAGUAAUGCAAAACACAGUUUGUCUCGAGAGGACUUCGAUUCGCGAUCGCUUGGCGGAACUGGUCCAAGCGGUUCGACUGUCAUUACUGCCUUCUCCCCCUAUAAAUCCACCUUCUGUACCCGAAGACAUCUUACACUCUGCUCGCCAGCCUCUGCUUCCUCAAAACCCCGCUGCUUCGUCAGCUGCCAUUGCUAUUCCUAUUGCCCGUCCAGCGACAUUCACCGGUGAGGCAGAGGAUUGCAGCAUUUUUUUUUUGCUACAGGUAUCUCUACAUUUCCAAAGGCAAGCACAUCAGUUUUCUAAUGACUUGCCACAAGAGGCUUUUAUUAUCUCCCUACUCUCUGGUCGAGCUCUCCAAUGGGCACAAGCCCUCUGAAACUUGGACUGCCCCAUUAUAUUAUCCCUGUCUAGUUUUCUUCAGCACUUCAAGGAAGUAUUCGGCCAGACAUCUAGUUCAUCUAGUCUCUGGAAUAGGGCUGUGCGAUUUAGGGAAAAUAUCUAAUUGCGCUUUUUCUGGCAGGAAUUGCGAUUCGAUUUGUGAUUCAAUUUUUUAGCAGCUGCAACUUAAAAUAACAAGUUAAAAUAUUUAAAUGGGUAAAUAUUUGUAUGCAUGUUUGUUUUUUUGUAAACAAAGAACUGUAAUACUCAACUUUAUAACUAUCAAAAUAUUAAAUAGCUACAUUUUUUAAAUUAAUAUAAAAUUAAAAUUAAUUCAUUGUCAUGUCAUUUCAUUCAAGUGACAUUAGCAACCCAGUUAAAUGGUAUUUUAGUUUGUUUUAAAUAAGGAGCCGGGCUUGUAAGCUUUUUUGGGCGUGUGUGUGUAAAGUUUUAACGCAUCAUCCGUUUUGGGAGACGUGGGCGUGAAGUCUUGCGAUGCGGACUUGUGGAGACAGGCGUGAGUAUUUAAUAAGCAUAGAGACACAGGCUGCGCGUCAAGUUUGAACACCUUGUCUGUUGUGAAAGAGGCGCACGCAAAAAGUCCUGCAAUGCGGAACCAGGCACGAGUAUUUAACAAGCAUUGAGAGACACAGGCUGCGCGCAUGCUUUAAAUUGAAACCCCUCGUCAGUUUAGGAGAAUCGCUGUUUUGGUUGACGUUCCUCUCACAGAAAAAGCACAGCCAUACUUGCGCUCGCUCAAUUGGUUAGACUGUCACAAAGCCUCUUUGCAUAUUUCUCAAAUCGCAUCAUAUCGCAUCCUUUCGCGAUUUGCUAAUCGCAACGUUUCACAUCGCGAUUGCGGUUUGAUUUCAAUUAAUCGCCCAGCCCUACUCUGGAAUAAGAUCGCCCUUAUAACUGCCUUUCGUCAUGGUCUAAACUCUUACAUCUGUCAGCUCAUAGUAGUGUAUGACGAUAACAUUGGUCUAGAAAAUCUCAUCUAGAAAACCAUCUUCCUUUCUCAACGUCUGUCAGUCUGCGAGGAUGUUCCCACCUCUCCCUACAGCCCUCCAGCGUUCAACCUAUGCCAGUCGACUUCACACAUCUAUCAGCCUCUGAAUGCCAACGCUGCAUCCGAUUUAAGCUCCUUCUCUACAGUGGAGGAGACAAACAGACCGUUCAGUCCGUCCUCCUCGCCCAACGGGAGCUCCAUUCAUGUUCUCCCCAUCGUAGAAACCUUAAAAUGUACCACUGUUUACCUUCUAACCCCCCGUAUUUGUGUCCCAGUGAAAGCCCUCAUCAACUCAGGAUGUGCUGUUUUCAAUCCUGUUUAAUGCCCAUUCGGAAUCCCCCUCUUUUUGUUGUCCUUCAUCUUACAAAUCCAGUUCUGAACUUUCUCUCUGUUCCACGACCGUCGAGAGCCCUCCGGUCCAACACCAAGUGGGAAUACCCAAGGAAUACCGGGUGUUCCAGGAUAUGUUUAGUAAACAGUUAGCAACCAAACUUCCACCUCAUCGGCCAUGGGACUGUGCCAUCGACCUGCUUCCUGGAGCCACACUACCCAAGGGUCGUAUCUACCCUCUGUCCUUCCCGGAACAAAAGGCCAUGGAGGAGUAUGUGGAGGAGGCUUUGCAACAAUCGUUUAUUCGUCCAUCUACUUCCCCAGCAGCUUCCAGCUGCUUCUUCGUAGCAAAAAAGGAUGGUGGUCUGUGCAUCGAUUACAGACAGCUCAAUUACCAUAAAGUACAAUAUAGCUAUCGCCUUCCUCUGGUUCCUGCUGCGCUAGAACAACUGCGUGUGGCUCAUAUCUUAACUAAGCUGGACCUUGCCUAUAACCUGAUUCGUUUUCGCUGAGGUGACUAGUGAAGACGGCCUUCGUAACCCCCCCCAGGUCACUCUAAGUACCGGGUCAUGCCCUACGGACUCUCCAACUCACUAGCGGUCUUCCAAGGCUACAUGAACGAGGUACUCCAUCACUUCCUCAACAAGUGUGUAGUUGUCUACAUAAACAAUAUCCUCAUAUUUUCCACCUCCCUCUCUGAACAUCAUCAUAAUGUAACUCUAGUCCUGGAAAAAUUAAGAGAAUCAAUUGUACCUGAAGCUGGAAAAGUGCGAGUUCCAUACCACCACUGUACAAUUCCUCGGAUAUAUCAUCAAUCAACAUGGAGUUAAAAUGGACCAGAGGAAGGUAGAGACUAUUCACAACUGGCCCCUGCCUACUACGGUAAAGGAUCUGCAACGGUUUCUAAGGUUCGCCAACUUCUAUUGCAGGUUCAUUAAUAAUUAUAAUCUCAUCAGUGCUUCCCUUCACCUCUUCCUUAACUCUUUCACCGCCAUUGACGAGAUAUCUCGUCAAUUAAGAGAAAACGCUUCCCCGCCAAUGACGAGAUUUUCUGUCUUUCCGCAAUACCGCUAUUAUCCACCAGGUGGCGCCCUUCCGAAACUUUUUAAACCCGGAAUUAUUGCCCUAUGGCAAGCGGCUGCAUGUCCGUGUCUGUUUUAAAGAUCGCUCUGAAUGGGAUCUCUAUGAAAAGUCCGUCACAAAAAUGGAAUUCUCUGCUUUUUGCUCAAAAUGUGGUGUUUUUGCAGAAACCUUCCCAUAUUCAAAAGCUGAUUACAAAAGAACCACUGAAGGUAGGAUGAAACGGUUUUUUUUGUUUGAAAGCAGAGGGUCUGUUCUUUCAUUUGGUAUAUUGUAUGUUUAUAUAUUUAAAGAAGAAUAUUUUCUGGAAGGCAUUAAACUUUGGUGAAAAUCAGGAAAACGCUGGCGCUGGCUGGCAACUUUUAAAAAAAACGCUGGCGGUGAAAGAGUUAAAGGGGUUUACCAAGUCACUCAAAUUAAAUUAUUCACUGCCUUUACCACCUUCAGGAAGCCUUUUCGUCUGCACCUGUCCUCAUCCAUCCCAAUCCAGAUUUUCCAUACUUCAUUGAAGUGGACGCUUUAUCCACAGGGGUAGGAGCCAUUCUCUCCCAGCCGCAGGGGAAUCCUCCCAGACUCUCUCCGUGUGCCACUUUCUCCAGAAAACUGUCCCCGGUGGGGCGGAACUACGACAUAGGUAAUUCAGAUUUGCUCGCCAUCAAACUCGCCCUAGAAGAGUGGAAACAUUGGCUGGAGGGCUCUAAUCAUCCCUUUUGAAGUCUCACUGAUCACAGAAACCUUGAAUACCUUUGAGAUGCUAAAAGACUGAACUCACGCCACACCUGUUGGGCACUGUUCUUCACUCGAUUCCAUUUCACCGUCACCUACAGGCCGGGCAGUAAGAACCUCUGUUACGGCCCAGGUUUAGUAAUUUUUAUAUUGUCAAUUGUAACAAAUCUUUUGAAGUGUGUUGUGUGUCCUGGGCCUGUGUUUUGUUUUUCUCUCAGUCUGUUGUCUCUCACUCUACCUGCUCUCAGGCAAAAUCCCCAUCAGCUGCAGCUCGUUUGUGAGUGAGUUUGCAUCCUACCGAGGGAUUGAAAAGCACUUGCUGAAUGCUGGAGAGACGCACACUUCUCCCUGCCUCAGACUGAAUAUUGUUUGGUGGUUGAUUGUUUGCUUUAACUAAAAAGGGCGAAAAUGUAACACCUCAAAGCAGAUACCCUCUCACGUCUCCAUAAUUCAACUACUGUGGAUCUCCAACCUGAGACCAUUCUCCCUCCAGCAAUGUUCCUCAACCAGAUCGUCUGGGAUCUUGGAUUCCGCUCACUCUACUUCACGCUCUGGACAUCCAGGUAGCAAGCGCAGCCUCUUGCCCCUCAGUCAACGGUACUGGUGGCCAUCCAUCUCCCAGGACCUCUCCCGAUGUGAAGAGUGAAUCAUGUUGUGAUGGAGAAGUGACGUUCUCAACAUCAAAAGAGCAACAGACAGCACAAACUCUUUUCUGCAUCACCUGUGGAAAGACAUUCAGCUCACAGAGACGUUUAGAGAAACAUGAGAGA